CGCGGCCGCCAUUUUUAGAGCGUGAGGUGCCCAGUGAUCUGACUGACGAGUCCGGGACGUAGUGAGACUCCUACCGCUCAGGGUCCUGCGACGUACAUUAACCACAGCCGCACUUUGGCCGUCACCACCCAACACACCGACGACUGCAUUGUACUCAUUACAACAGUCUAGGGUGAUGGCACCUCCCCAUUCCAAAGAGUCUUAACAAGGUCAAAAUGGAAUAGCCUCAUUUCUCCCUAUUUCCUACUAAGUACAGCUAAACUCCUGGAUAUUAUAUAUAAAAUAAACAUAGGAGACUGAAAGGUGCAGAGAAGAAGGCAGACCACCUAGGGACCUUGCGACCUGAGGAAUGACACUGUGAUGUCCUCAUAAAACUCGACCUAGUGGGGAUAACUGAAAAGAAAAUAAGA